UAUUAGCACUAGGGGUGCCCACUGCGGCUGAGAUUAUACCCUUGAACCUGUUAAGUUAAUACUUGCGAAGGAAAGUUGCAUUCAUGUUAC
rnacentral:ncRNA from 2 species